CGCUUAGGCGUGUGACUGCGUACCUUUUGUAUAAUGGGUCAGCGACUUAUAUUCUGUAGCAAGGUUAACCGAAUAGGGGAGCCGAAGGGAAACCGAGUCUUAACUGGGCGUUAAGUUGCAGGGUAUAGACCCGAAACCCGGUGAUCUAGCCAUGGGCAGGUUGAAGGUUGGGUAACACUAACUGGAGGACCGAACCGACUAAUGUUGAAAAAUUAGCGGAUGACUUGUGGCUGGGGGUGAAAGGCCAAUCAAACCGGGAGAUAGCUGGUUCUCCCCGAAAGCUAUUUAGGUAGCGCCUCGUGAAUUCAUCUCCGGGGGUAGAGCACUGUUUCGGCUAGGGGGUCAUCCCGACUUACCAAACCGAUGCAAACUACGAAUACCGAAUA
rnacentral:rRNA from 1 species